rnacentral:rRNA from 1 species
UCUCCUGGAAAACGGGUGGUAAUGCCGAAUGUUCCACAUGCUCGCAUGGGUGUGUGGGAAAACGUUUUAGUGCUAUGCGAUGGGAUCGCGUCCUAUCAGCUUGUUGGUGGGGUAGUGGCCUACCAAGGCUUCGACGGGUAGCCGGCCUGAGAGGGCGACCGGCCACAUUGGGACUGAGAUACGGCCCAGACUCCUACGGGAGGCAGCAGUGGGGAAUAUUGCACAAUGGGGGGAACCCUGAUGCAGCGACGCCGCGUGCGGGAUGACGGCCUUCGGGUUGUAAACCGCUUUUAUUGGGGAGCAAGCGUGAGUGAGUGUACCUUUUGAAUAAGCACCGGCUAACUACGUGCCAGCAGCCGCGGUAAUACGUAGGGUGCAAGCGUUGUCCGGAAUUAUUGGGCGUAAAGAGCUCGUAGGCGGUUUGUCGCGUCUGGUGUGAAAGUCCAUCGCUUAACGGUGGAUUGGCGCUGGGUACGGGCAGGCUAGAGUGUAGUAGGGGAGACUGGAAUUCUCGGUGUAACGGUGGAAUGUGUAGAUAUCG